AUUUAAAUAGCUUAAAAAAUAAAGCAUAAUAUUGAAGAUAUUAAAAUAAUUUUAUAAUUUUUAAAUA
rnacentral:tRNA from 2 species